UCCUCAUUGUGCAUGCUGUGUGUAUUUCUGUGUACCACACAGCGCCUGCAAUGUGGAGG
rnacentral:pre_miRNA from 1 species